GCGGCGGACGGGUGAGUAACACGUGGGCAACCUGCCUCAUAGAGGGGAAUAGCCUUCCGAAAGGAAGAUUAAUACCGCAUAACAUUGUUGAAAGGCAUCUUUUAACAAUCAAAGGAGCAAUCCGCUAUGAGAUGGGCCCGCGGCGCAUUUGCUAGUUGGUGAGGUAACGGCUCACCAAGGCGACGAUGCGUAGCCGACCUGAGAGGGUGAUCGGCCACAUUGGAACUGAGACACGGUCCAGACUCCUACGGGAGGCAGCAGUGGGGAAUAUUGCACAAUGGGGGAAACCCUGAUGCAGCAACGCCGCGUGAGUGAUGAAGGUCUUCGGAUUGUAAAGCUCUGUCUUUAGGGACGAUAAUGACGGUACCUAAGGAGGAAGCCACGGCUAACUACGUGCCAGCAGCCGCGGUAAUACGUAGGUGGCAAGCGUUAUCCGGAUUUACUGGGCGUAAAGGGAGCGUAGGCGGAUAUUUAAGUGGGAUGUGAAAUACCCGAGCUUAACUUGGGAGCUGCAUUCCAAACUGGAUAUCUAGAGCGCAGGA
rnacentral:rRNA from 1 species